rnacentral:rRNA from 1 species
UGGCGGACGGGUGAGUAAUGUCUGGGAAACUGCCUGAUGGAGGGGGAUAACUACUGGAAACGGUAGCUAAUACCGCAUAACGUCGCAAGACCAAAGAGGGGGACCUUAGGGCCUCUUGCCAUCGGAUGUGCCCAGAUGGGAUUAGCUAGUAGGUGGGGUAACGGCUCACCUAGGCGACGAUCCCUAGCUGGUCUGAGAGGAGGACCAGCCACACUGGAACUGAGACACGGUCCAG